AUAACCCCAAACACUUCUCAUAGAUCUUUUGCUUUUGAAUUUUUAAUCACUGCAUAGUCUCUGAAGACUUGAAGAUGCCCAAACCUUCAGUAUGCUCUCUCCCCUUUCUUCCCUUAGGCUCUGGUUCCCAGAUAGGCAGUAAGAAGGAAUGACCUAAGCUCUCUCCUUCCUGAGUCUCAGAUGCAUUUGAGUGUCUGACCGUGCCUCUCGACGAUUCUUACAUCUAUUAUACACUGUCAAGCCUUCGAAUCUCUCAGCCGAGACGCUUCUGCUGACUUCCUGCACUCCUGCUGAUGGAUGGGCCUCUUUCUAAUGGAGCCGCCCACAGAACAAAAUGCACAAAUAGUCCUUUGCCCCUAUUAUGAUUAAGGCCCAAUAGAAUUCUUGUCAAAUACUCUAUUGCACUUUUGCCUGUACUCACAGAAAUUCAUGAUAUUUACAAUUAAUAGUGUGUUUUUAAAUGAAUAUAAGUAAAGUAUACUUGCAUUCUA